rfam:Fonticula alba strain ATCC 38817 unplaced genomic scaffold supercont2.9, whole genome shotgun sequence.
UCGACCGUACUCUAGGGAUCAUUUCUAUAGUAUGUGUCCUCGUCAAGUUUACCCAAACUAGACAUCAACAAACCCCAGGACGAUGAGCAAUAGCGAUGCUUCCCGAGCGCGAAGCGUGCCCGUGGUUGUUGCCUCUUGGCAUCUGACCGCGUUGGCAAUUGAUGACCGUGCCGCUGGCCCUUGCAGCCUUCGGCAGGGUUGCAUCGCAAUCUGACUGGC